GGCAGAGAGUGAUGGGCGCCGUCAUUUGAAAGAAAACAUUUGCAGUCGCUGCUAAAAGUGUUCUGGUUUCAGAUCCCGUAAUGAAUAGUUCAGUCAAAAGAACAGUCCUUAAUACGUUUCAGCCCGGUAGAGUAAACUGUGGAAACUGAAAAAAAAUAAAAAAAUAAAAUUGCAGCUCUGAACCUCAGCUGCAGCAAGAGCUCAGCAUUGUGUGUGCAGCCCAUAUGCUGCUGCCAGCCGGCUUCUGCAUCAGGAAUCCAGGAGAGCAUCGCUUUGGAGGCUUGCAGGCUGGCUGCAAUAAUAAUAAUAUGGCUUUAUUGCUGUUGUUUCAGGGCAUCGAGAUCAUCUUCCACCCCCUCUUUGCUGUCUCCGAGCUCCUCCCCAGGUUCCUGGGCUGGCAGCCCCGGCUUUCAUCUCAAACUGCAGCUGCUUCACCAUUUCAGGGGAAUUAUGCUGGGCCCUGCAGCAGAGGGCAGCAAAGGAGCAUAGCCCAUGGCUCCCGGCUGGCACCGAUGGUUUCCUGUCCUGCAGUUCACCGCUUUGUUUUCGCCUCCCCAUGAAACAGCAUUCGAGUAACCGAGAGGUUCUGCUGUGGCCAUUCUCCUGAGUCCCUCACAGGAGCCACCAGGUCGCUUUCUCCAUCGUGCCCUCCAUUUGAGGCUCUUGGUGGGUAGGAUAAGACAGGAAGAUGAAGGCUGGUUUGAGAGAUGUCUGGAAAAAGGCAGCACACAGUUGAGGUUUCCAGUCUAACGGGAGGAGUGUGUGACCAGCAUGUCAUCCCCCUACACAGUCCACACUGUUAGUCUGAGAUUCGCAGCCAAAUCAACAGAAUUGCAGUGACUUCAGUGUUUGGGUAGUGCUGGGCCACAGUUAUGCUACGUGAUAGGUGCAUCUUUGAUCUGAACAGUGCAAGCACUAAGCCUUUGCUUUGGCUCUUUCAAAUAAGCUGGCCUCCACCUAUGAGAGAUUACAAGCAAUUUUAGACCACAAAUAUCGUAAACAAUUCAGAAGUUUUGGAAACAUUCAUGUCUUGGCAAUGAAAGAAAUGAGAAGUUACUGGGAAACACAAGGAAAAGAUAAAAGGAUAUCAACGUUAUCACUGCUUACACUACAGAAUUUGAAAAUAUUUUACUUUUGUCUCAUGAAAAUUUUCUUCCCCCCACACUGAGAACUUGUAUUUCAGAGGAUAUUAAACAGAACUUUGACAUCAUCUCAGCGUCUUUCUUUAAAUAGGUUAAGAACAAUCAGCAUAAGGAAGAAGAAGCUUGCUCUCUCUCUUUCCCUGUAAGCUAGCCACGUGAGGACCACCAUGCAGAUAGCCCAUGCUCUCACCCUCUUAAUUAACUGUCUCAUUUUCUGCUCAUUUUUUCAUCCUUAAAUUUUGCCAAGUGUUUUCCCACCACUAGAUAAAAUUAUGAAACCUUCUCCAAUAUAACUUAUUUUUCUAUUUUCUGUCUUUCUGUAUUUUUUUUUUAAUUUGUUCUGUUUUGUUAUUUGUUUCUGAUAUAAGUAGUUUCUGAGAAGUGGCUGUGGCUUCUUAUGCGUGAGGACAGCUGUACUUGCUUAGAGUGAAGGUCCAUCCUAGUCAGGGCUCCAUUUCUGGUAGCGUUCAGUUGCAAGACUUCUUUCUCAUGUUCUCCUUUGUGCUCUUUCAACAUUUUUUUAAAUGGAAAUUUUAGCAAUUUCCAUCUCUCUGCUCUCUUCAUAUCUGAUGAGAUUCUUUUUCUGCUCUAUCAGGCCUAGGUGUUCCAGGCAAUCCUUUGCCCGCCACUGCAAAAAAAAAGUAAUCGCACCUCUCUCUGCUAAUCACAGUAAUGCAUGAUUCAUAACAACAAUAGCAUUACAAGGAGAAAUCAGUCUUGAGAGAGCAGGCUGGAAGUGGGAUCCUUGAAAUCCUUUCAAAAUGUUCAACAGUCUGUAAGGCAAGGCGAAAUGCCUGCCUGCUGUGCAAGUAGGCAAGGGGCAAACAUGUCAGAUGCUCGUCCCUCUUCUUGAUAACUCUGGCUUUCUUUCAGUGCCCUUUCUUUAAGGUAUGAAUCUCUCAUCCACAGUACAAAGCUCUUUUUAAGAGUCAACUGUACAGAAAUAGCUUCUGUCGGUGCUGAAUUGCACAGAUAUCUAAGGCAGAACCUGACCACUAUUUAAUACUUUUCAGCAGAGCCUAACAAUCAUAUAAAGUGUAGGAAGUUUCAAAUAAGCAAAAUGAAUAGCUCCACCCAUCCUGGCAUUUUCUUUUGCAGAAAAUCCCUCAAGAACAGCAAACUAUCAGGAGGCUGAUUUACAUUGUUGAAAAAUACACUUUCAUCUGCCUUUUGCACUUUUACUCUGUAAUGGGGUAUCAGUUUAAUUUUCCUGAGAGGGGCUACUGUUUAAUGAACUAGCAUCCGUUUUUCCUGUUGUGCAUGGGAAAUUCCCUGGUAAAAAUAAAAAAAUAAAAAAAAUUACA
rnacentral:lncRNA from 1 species